rnacentral:tRNA from 1 species
GCCCGGAUGGCGGAACUGGUAGACGCAAGGGACUUAAAAUCCCUCGGACGCAAGUCUGUACGAGUUCGAUUCUCGUUCCGGGUA